rnacentral:sRNA from 2 species
CUGUGUAACUCUUAACAUUCUUCUGCUCUGUGCUCCACUGCAGCAUGAUCUCUGAUAUUCUUCUGUUUCAAUCCUUCUUCUAUAAGAACCCUCUUGUAUAACCCCUUCUUCUGAUCUUUCUUCUCUUUCUUUUCUUAAUCAAUUCAUAAACUGUUAUCAGAAUAGUGUCAAGUCUGUUGAUAUUGCCAUUGAAAUAGAUUGUAUAAACUGCAC